GAUGAGCGCUGGCGGCGUGCUUAACACAUGCAAGUCGAACGGUGAACACGGAGCUUGCUCUGUGGGAUCAGUGGCGAACGGGUGAGUAACACGUGAGCAACCUGCCCCUGACUCUGGGAUAAGCGCUGGAAACGGCGUCUAAUACUGGAUAUGUGACGUGACCGCAUGGUCUGCGUUUGGAAAGAUUUUUCGGUUGGGGAUGGGCUCGCGGCCUAUCAGCUUGUUGGGGAGGUAAUGGCUAACCAAGGCGUCGACGGGUAGCCGGCCUGAGAGGGUGACCGGCCACACUGGGAUUGAGACACGGCCCAGACUCCUACGGGAGGCAGCAGUGGGGAAUAUUGCACAAUGGGCGAAAGCCUGAUGCAGCAACGCCGCGUGAGGGAUGACGGCCUUCGGGUUGUAAACCUUUUUUGGCAGGGAAGAAGCGAAAGUGACGGUACCUGCAGAAAAAGCGCCGGCUAACUACGUG
rnacentral:rRNA from 1 species